AGACAUCAUCGACUGCGUGCAUAUCUCCCACCAACCAGCCUUCGACCAUCCUCUCCUCAAGAACCACACAAUACAGGUUAGCCCUGACCUUUAUGGACACAACAACACUAUAUUGUUCACAUACUGGACUAGUGAUGCAUAUCAGGCAACAGGGUGCUAUAACAUGGUUGUGCAUCGCUGGAUUAUUUUAAACAGAUUUUUCUAGGAGUAUUAAGAUGUCCUUACUAUAAAUAAUUCAAACAACUCGCAUUUGCAAUGAACGCGAGUAUACACACAACUUGGACAGCUCACGAAUUUUAUUUCAAGGAUACACAACAGAGAUGCGUAUCUUUUUUUCAUUAACAAGAACAAUUGUUAAUUACAGGCACCUAUUGAGCUCUAGAUUAGACUCUAGCUAGGAAACUUAGAACAACCAGAAUGCUAAUUACAGGUGCGUGGUUUAAUGACGAAUUACAGGAAAGCUGAGCAUGUGCCGAAACAAUAGA